rnacentral:siRNA from 1 species
AGGUGUAGUGCUUGACUUGACA